rnacentral:lncRNA from 1 species
AAGUGCCUAAAGAUUGGAAACAUCUUUACCACAUAGACAGCCAGGAGAUAUUGAUAUAAUGGCGUACUUGAGAUCUCUUAUUGUUACUUGCUCUUGUUGACAAUUUGCCCUCGAGUUACAUCAUAACUUCAGAAGGAGAAAAUGUAGUGUCUUGAACAAAUUGAGAUUAAUAGCCAUGUUGGGAUGCAUCUGAUGUAUAACUGCUCCAAUCCAAAAGCGAAUUUUGGGAAAGCAAAUUCCAACCAAAUUCCGCCAUGUCAGUUUUGUAAUGUUUUACCG